rnacentral:lncRNA from 1 species
AUUUCGAACUGAAAUUUUCAUUCAAAAAUAUUUAUUGAAUGCCGGCUAUGUGCUGAAGAUUCUUAAGAUACAUCAGUGAACAAAUCAAAGUUCCCUGCUUUCUUGGAGCUUGCAUUCCAGCGGGAGGAGAGGAUUUGGAGGAAGAAUGGGAUAGACAAUAAAUGAGACACUGUACAUGAAGUUUCCAGAACCAGCCAUGUCCAUCUUACUAAUCAAGACUCUCUCUGUUAAAUCUGCAACUCAAAUGACUUUAAGGAAAAAUGGAUUUCAUUGAUUCACAUAACCAUCACUCAAGGACUAACUUUCAACAUAGUGAGAUCCUGAGGCUCAAAUAUUAUUACCCGGAACAACCUUCAGUACAUAAGUAAUGGCUGCUGGAUGUAACUUGCAAUUGGGUGGCAGGUCGGCAAGGAAAGAAUUCCAAACAGAGGACUUUCUGAAAGCCUAAUUAUACAUAUUGAAUGUAACAAAAGGAAAAUAGUUUUUAAGGGUUCCAUGAACUGCUUCCUCUGACAUGAGAUCUAACAAGGCUAAAGACUAAAAUGCAGCUGUUUACAGCGUAAGUAGGAGGCCGUCCCGUGCAGUGCAAAAUCAACAGAGAGGAGACAGUCCUAUGCCUUCGAGAGACAGUCUGCUGAUACUGUCAUGAUGUCUAGUGACAGGCCAGAGAUCAAAACCCAACACCCUCAUUUACCUGACAGUGAUUUGGCCAAUCCCU